ACCCGCACAAGCGGUGGAUGAUGUGGAUUAAUUCGAUGCAACGCGAAAAACCUUACCUACCCUUGACAUGUACGGAAUCCCUGAGAGAUUAGGGAGUGCUCGAAAGAGAACCGUAACACAGGUGCUGCAUGGCUGUCGUCAGCUCGUGUCGUGAGAUGUUGGGUUAAGUCCCGCAACGAGCGCAACCCUUGUCAUUAGUUGCUACGAAAGGGCACUCUAAUGAGACUGCCGGUGACAAACCGGAGGAAGGUGGGGAUGACGUCAAGUCCUCAUGGCCCUUAUGGGUAGGGCUUCACACGUCAUACAAUGGUACAUACAGAGGGCCGCCAACCCGCGAGGGGGAGCUAAUCCCAGAAAGUGUAUCGUAGUCCGGAUUGUAGUCUGCAACUCGACUACAUGAAGUUGGAAUCGCUAGUAAUCGCGGAUCAGCAUGUCGCGGUGAAUACGUUCCCGGGUCUUGUACACACCGCCCGUCACACCAUGGGAGCGGGUUUCACCAGAAGUAGGUAGCCUAACCGUAAGGAGGGCGCUUACCACGGUGGGAUUCGUGACUGGGGUGAAGUCGUAACAAGGUAGCCGUA
rnacentral:rRNA from 1 species